rnacentral:rRNA from 1 species
UGGGGAAUAUUGGACAAUGGGCGAAAGCCUGAUCCAGCAAUGCCGCGUGUGUGAAGAAGGCCUUCGGGUUGUAAAGCACUUUGAUCUGGGAAGAAAAAGCUUUGGCUAAUAUCCAAAGCCUUGACGGUACCAGAGGAACAAGCACCGGCUAACUCUGUGCCAGCAGCCGCGGUAAUACAGAGGGUGCUAGCGUUAAUCGGAUUUACUGGGCGUAAAGCGUGUGUAGGCGGUUCGUUAAGUCGGAUGUGAAAGCCCUGGGCUCAACCUGGGAAUUGCAUUCGAUACUGGCGAGCUAGAGUACGGUAGAGGGCGGCGGAAUUCCGGGUGUAGCGGUGAAAUGCGUAGAUAUCCGGAGGAACACCGAUGGCGAAGGCAACCGCCUGGGCCUGUACUGACGCUG